rnacentral:rRNA from 1 species
GGCUUCCGGAGCUAACGCGUUAAGUCGACCGCCUGGGGAGUACGGCCGCAAGGUUAAAACUCAAAUGAAUUGACGGGGGCCCGCACAAGCGGUGGAGCAUGUGGUUUAAUUCGAUGCAACGCGAAGAACCUUACCUGGUCUUGACAUCCACAGAACUUUCCAGAGAUGGAUUGGUGCCUUCGGGAACUGUGAGACAGGUGCUGCAUGGCUGUCGUCAGCUCGUGUUGUGAAAUGUUGGGUUAAGUCCCGCAACGAGCGCAACCCUUAUCCUUUGUUGCCAGCGGUCCGGCCGGGAACUCAAAGGAGACUGCCAGUGAUAAACUGGAGAAAGGUGGGGAUGACGUCAAGUCAUCAUGGCCCUUACGACCAGGGCUACACACGUGCUACAAUGGCGCAUACAAAGAGAAGCGACCUCGCGAGAGCAAGCGGACCUCAUAAAGUGCGUCGUAGUCCGGAUUGGAGUCUGCAACUCGACUCCAUGAAGUCGGAAUCGCUAGUAAUCGUGGAUCAGAAUGCCACGGUGAAUACGUUCCCGGGCCUUGUACACACCGCCCGUCACACCAUGGGAGUGGGUUGCAAAAGAAGUAGGUAGCUUAACCUUCGGGAGGGCGCUUACCACUUUGUGAUUCAUGACUGGGGUGAAGUCGUAACAAGGUAACCGUAGGGGAACCUGCGGUUG